UACGUAGGGUGCGAGCGUUAAUCGGAAUUACUGGGCGUAAAGCGUGCGCAGGCGGUUUUGUAAGCCAGAUGUGAAAUCCCCGGGCUCAACCUGGGAAUGGGCAUUUGGGACUGCAAGGCUGGAGUGUGGGCAGAGGAGACUGGAAUUCCUGGGUGUAGCAGUUGAAAUGCGUAGAUAUCAGGAGGAAUACCGAUGGCGAAGGCAGGUCUCUGGGCUGACACUGACGCUCAUGCACGAAAGCGUGGGGAGCGA
rnacentral:rRNA from 1 species